rnacentral:lncRNA from 1 species
CUGUCGCAAGCCACGCGCCAGCGCCUGAGCAUCCCUGUCAUGGUAGUCACCCUAGACCCCACGCGGGAGCAGUGCUUCGGGGACCGCUUCAGCCGCCUGCUGCUGGACGAGUUCCUGGGCUACGACGACGUCCUCAUGUCUAGUGUGAAGGGCCUGGCAGAGAAUGAGGAGAACAAAGGCUUCUUGAGGAAUGUGGUCUCUGGGGAGCACUACCGCUUUGUCAGCAUGUGGAUGGCACGCACAUCCUACCUGGCAGCCUUUGUCAUCAUGGUCAUCUUUACCCUCAGUGUGUCCAUGCUGUUGCGAUACUCGCACCACCAGAUCUUCGUCUUCAUCGGGAUGGAGGCCAUCAUGUCUGAGUUCUUCAACGACACCACCACGGCCUUCUACAUCAUCCUCAUCGUGUGGCUGGCCGACCAGUACGAUGCCAUCUGCUGCCACACCAACACCAGCAAGCGACAC